GCUGUCACAUUGGAACUAGGCAGGGACUAGAUAGGAAUUCCGGUCCCAGACUCCCUGCACAUCCCUGUCCUCGCGCAGGACGGGAUGCUUCAUGCAGCGGGGCGUGUUUCCGGCGGGCCGCGUUCGCUGUGACACAGCGCCCCCACCUCGUGCCCCGCCCCCGCGCCUUUCGCGCUUAGGUGUUCAUUCCUCAGCCCUCUGAAGACUUCGGUUAGACCGUUUGGACCUGCGAGGACGGUGCUUCCCGUCUCUAGAAAUGCCUGUUAAAAGAUCAUUGAAGCUGGAUGAUCAGUUUGAAGAAAGUUCAUUUGAUCCUUCAAGAAUCACAAGCAAGAGAAGUAUGACAGAGUAUUCUCCAACAACUGGAACUUGUCGAAUAAGCCCAUUUUCUUCUCCCACAACCUCUGAAAAGCAAGAGUACAGAGCCUCAUUAUCAUGUGGAAAGAGAAGUAAACCAAAUCACCCCAUUUUAAUUCGAAGGAUGGACUCUACCACAAAAGAGAAUGACGAAUUAAUGAUGUUGCUAUCUAAAGUUGAACAAUCAUCAGAAGAAAUCAUGAAGAUAAUGCAGAAUUUAAGAAGUACACAGGCCUUGGAAGGCAAUAGAGAGCUUGAAAAUCUCAUUGGCAUUUCCCAUGCACCAUGUUUCUUAAAAGGAGAAGUGGAGAAAACCAAAGAACUAUUGAUAAAAGUAACAAAACAAAAACUGUUUGUAAAGAAGAGUUCAGAACUUCCUCAAAAAGCUGCUGUAGCAAGAUAUAAUGGCCAGCCUCUGCUCUGCCAUACUUUCUCCAUGAUGGCAAAUAUUCCACUCAAGACUGUAAGCCAAAGUAAACCUUUUCCUCCCAUCCGCUGCUUCUGCCUGGGUAUUUUGUCCCAGCAACAAGAAGAUUGCUGUCUUCCUUCUCUGCCUGGAAAAUUCUUGCUUAUCUGACUAUAAGCUCACUGUCACAUGUCCUAUCCUCUGUGAAGACUCCCUUUUCCUAGAACAUCAUCUUGACAGCUAUGAAUUCCUUAAAGCCAUUUUAAACUGAGACACUUAGAAGAAAUGCAUUAUGAACACAAUGUCUGCAUCUGCCUGCUCAUAUUUAAAGGAACAGAAGCACUGCGUGAAAUUCAUCUGCCCAGUAAAUACCAGCUCAUACCACCAGGCAGGUGCAAGUCUAGAUAAAAUUUCUUGCAGCUAAUUUAAACUUUCUACACAUACGAGUAGAUAAUCUCAAUGUAAAUACUGUAUUUCUUCUUGACCCUUCAAUGUAAGCUAGGACAUAGGAGAAAGUUGUAAAGUUUCAUACCUUCUUAGAAAAUAUUGGAAUACAUUUUUAGUACAGACAUUUAACUAUGAAGGAUGUUUUGCACUGAAUUUAGACUACAGUAAAUUUAAAGAAAAGACCUUUAUUCUGGGCAGCAUGUGAUCCCUUUCAAUCAUUCUAAAGCAUCAGCUUGAACUUCUACUAAUCAUUGUGUUGGUGCCACUGAGUACCUGUGUUGUCAGAUAAAUAGGGGAAUAGGGAUCCCAAGUAUGUCAUAUCUUGAUAACAUGGUUUUAAAGACCCAUAAUUGGCCAUUCCAACAGAGAACAAAAUUCUUUUCCUGGGUAUGCUCCCUCAAUUUGGGGAAAAAAAAAUUGUGUAAAAUAUCAUUUAAUUCAGUAUAUUAUGAAAAUAAAUAUCCUGUACAAAAAUCUGAAAUUAAGGUUGAAGAAGCUGGGUGUGAUGG